UACGAAGGGGGCUAGCGUUGUUCGGAAUUACUGGGCGUAAAGCGCGCGCAGGCGGCUAUCCAAGUCAGUGGUGAAAGCCCGGAGCUCAACUCCGGAACUGCCAUUGAAACUGUUUAGCUUGAGGAUGAGAGAGGUGAGUGGAAUUCCCAGUGUAGAGGUGAAAUACGUAGAUCUCGGGAAGAACACCAAAGGCGAAAGCACUCUGCUGGGCCGAGACUGACACUGAGGGACGAGAGCUAGGGGAGCGAAAGGG
rnacentral:rRNA from 1 species